AGAGUUUGAUCAUGGCUCAGGAUGAACGCUGACGGCGUGCUUAACACAUGCAAGUCGAACGGUGAAGCCAAGCUUGCUUGGUGGAUCAGUGGCGAACGGGUGAGUAACACGUGAGCAACCUGCCCCGGACUCUGGGAUAAGCGCUGGAAACGGCGUCUAAUACCGGAUAUGAACCACAGCCGCAUGGUUGGUGGUUGGAAAGAUUUUUUGGUUCGGGAUGGGCUCGCGGCCUAUCAGCUUGUUGGUGAGGUAAUGGCUCACCAAGGCGUCGACGGGUAGCCGGCCUGAGAGGGUGACCGGCCACACUGGGACUGAGACACGGCCCAGACUCCUACGGGAGGCAGCAGUGGGGAAUAUUGCACAAUGGGCGGAAGCCUGAUGCAGCAACGCCGCGUGAGGGAUGACGGCCUUCGGGUUGUAAACCUCUUUUAGCAAGGAAGAAGCGAAAGUGACGGUACUUGCAGAAAAAGCGCCGGCUAACUACGUGCCAGCAGCCGCGGUAAUACGUAGGGCGCAAGCGUUAUCCGGAAUUAUUGGGCGUAAAGAGCUCGUAGGCGGUUUGUCGCGUCUGCUGUGAAAACUGGAGGCUCAACCUCCAGCCUGCAGUGGGUACGGGCAGACUAGAGUGCGGUAGGGGAGAUUGGAAUUCCUGGUGUAGCGGUGGAAUGCGCAGAUAUCAGGAGGAACACCGAUGGCGAACGCAGAUCGCUGGGCCGUAACUGACGCUGAGGAGCGAAAGGGUGGGGAGCAAACAGGCUUAGAUACCCUGGUAGUCCACCCCGUAAACGUUGGGAACUAGUUGUGGGGGCCAUUCCACGGUCUCCGUGACGCAGCUAACGCAUUAAGUUCCCCGCCUGGGGAGUACGGCGCAAGGCUAAAACUCAAAGGAAUUGACGGGGACCCGCACAAGCGGCGGAGCAUGCGGAUUAAUUCGAUGCAACGCGAAGAANNUUACCAAGGCUUGACAUAUACGAGACGGGNNGAAUGGUCAACUCUUUNGACNCUCGUAAACNGNNGGNGCAUGNNGUCGUCAGCUNNNNC
rnacentral:rRNA from 1 species